rnacentral:rRNA from 1 species
AUUGAACGCUGGCGGCAGGCCUAACACAUGCAAGUCGAACGGCAGCGGGGAGUAGCUUGCUACUCUGCCGGCGAGUGGCGGACGGGUGAGUAAUGCCUGGGGAGCUGCCCAAUCGAGGGGGAUACCAGUUGGAAACGACUGCUAAUACCGCAUACGCCCUGAGGGGGAAAGGUGGGGAUCUUCGGACCUAUCGCGAUUGGAUGCACCCAGGUGGGAUUAGCUAGUUGGUGAGGUAACGGCUCACCAAGGCGACGAUCUCUAGCUGGUCUGAGAGGGAGAUCCCCCCACACUGGUACUGAGACACGGCCCAGACUCCUACGGGAGGCAGCAGUGGGGAAUUUUGGACAAUGGGCGAAAGCCUGAUCCAGCCAUGCCGCGUGAGUGAAGAAGGCCUUGGGUUGUAAAGCUCUUUCAGCCGGAAAGAAAUACGCGCAGGCUAAUACUCUGCGUGGAUGACGGUACCGGAAGAAGAAGCACCGGCUAACUACGUGCCAG